GGAUGUGAGGGAAAUCUAGCUGUGACAUGUUACCCCAUUGAUCAGUAGUUUUGAUUCAGUUGAUCUGGCUGGCUAGGCAAGCAUGCCCUUCCACCCGCGCUGCUCCAAAAAGUAUCCCUCCCAAAUCUACUGUGGGCUCAGUAGGAGGGCAGCUUUCUUUCCCUCUUACUCAGCCAUAAGAGAGACAGACUUUUCUGGGGUUGAGGGUUCAGUAGCUGAAUUCCCUUGCUGAACUUCUAAAACAAGCUCUCAAGAAAAGUGCACAUAUUUUUAAAACCUAUAACUAUUUAUAAGCAUUU
rnacentral:snRNA from 1 species